CGCCAUUUUACACCUGGACAGAGAGGAGGAGGACAACAGAUGUUACCGGGGUAUCUCUCAGACUGGAGAAGAUGAAUGAUUUUAAAUAUGAGGAAGAGGACAGAUCUCCAGUCUCCAGCUGUCUGUCUCUGAAGAGUGACUGACCUCAAGAGCAACCUAUAGUCUUCAGUAAUGAACCUGGACCCUCAGACCCAAAACAGAGAACAGUCUCCAGCUGUCUUUCUCUGAAGAGUGAGCGGUCUAAAGGAAUAUUCAUAGAAUUCAGUAAUGAACCUGGACCCUCAGACACAGAGAUCAACAGAGAGAAGAUCAGAGCCAAAAAACAGAAGAGAUGAGACUUCGAUUUAAACAGGAAGUUAAAACCUUGAUGAACUGACGGCUUAUUUUCCAUAAAAAACAAACAAUCAAUUUCACUUAAAGCUUUUCUUUAAAAGAAAGAAUUGUUUCCUAAUUCUUCAAAAGUUACAUUUACCAACUCAUAAAAUCAGACUCAGGAUCCGGUUUACUGUCAAUUAGGUUUUUACACAUGCAAGGAAUUAGUUUUGGUGUGUUGUUGCAAAGAGAAGAAACAUAAAUAUAGAAGAGAAAAAAUACAUAUUUUAAAUACAAAUUAAGAAAUAGAUUUCAUUAUAUACAAGUCCCGCCCAAAUUAGCUGUGAUUGGCUGGGACUACUGUGCUGGGAUUGGCUGGUUCUAUAUUUAUAUCAGAAGUUUUCUGACAUUCAGUAUGCUAAUGAGGCGUUAUGUGACGCUAACUUUUGGUGGAUUCAGGAGAAAUCUGCAGACACAAACAGACAGUUAGUCAAAUAUUUAUUGAGGGGACUUCAGAUAUUGUUCCUUUUUCUUUAUUCUGUUUCAAUCAUAUAGAAAAAAUGAUAGUGUUGAUGUUUUCAAGUUUCUCUUUUGUUUACGUGAAAGUGGGGGGAAUUUACGUACAUUUUUAUUUAGGGUGCGAACCAAAAACACUCUUUGAGGUGUAUGAAAAAACUUACAGGAUGUCAGCCAUUUUGAAUUGUGUCACCCUUCAUACAUUAUCCGAUCGACUCCAAAUUUGGAAAGUAGUAUCUCGAGACCUAGGAGAUGAAAAGUUAUCAGAAAGUGUAACUUUUCAUCGCACGGCGUAGUCGUUAUGACGCACCCAUUUUCACGUUUGCACAAUGCUAGGUGAUCCCACGUCAUGGUACACAAUGAUUUCAUAACUCCAACUGACAUGCUCUGAACAGCCCCAGAUUUCAAAUGAUGGUUAACACUGCAGCCCUGAACAGCUGUAGAUCAAAUCUGAGGUUUCAUAAUGUGGCUUUUCCAUAGAGCAUCCCUCGCCAUUAAACAAGAUAGAUAUAACAGUUUUCCUCUAUAACUCCUAUGAAAAUAAGCCUCAUUGUUACUGCUGUAACUCCAAUAGAGAUUGUGCGAUCUGCCUGCAACUUCCCACGUUUGCCAACGGCUAAGUCCGGAAAACAUCUGCGAAACGUCUAUGUGCGGACAACAGUGAACCUGCGCAGAUCGACGAAGACCUGCUCAUCGCUGCUUGCAGCAUUACUUGUUUUUUUGUUUGUUUAUUUUGUUUAUGGUUCAAAAGCACAAUUGGGCCGAAAUAUGGUUGUUUGUUUUUGACUCCUGAGUUACUGUAUUAUUUCAGUUUAUUGUUGGAGUAAUAAAUAAUUUUCUUAAACUGAUAUUAAGUACUGACACUUUGAUUUGACCAGGGGGAGAACGGCAUUUCUAACUUUCAUGUUCGAUUCCUCAAUGGAGGCAAGGAUGGAUUACUGCACGGGCCUACCGGGCCCAAUCCCAGGGGCCCAAGGGCCAAGGGGGCCCUGAAGCCCAAGCCUCCGCGCUACCAUUUCAAUAUUGUCUCUACAACAUAAUACAAUUAAAGGGGCCCUGAAGCCAUAACAUUGGUUACAUUAUGUAAUAUAUCUCAAUAGGGACCCCAAUCAUAUGCCACGGGUUGUGUAAUUAGUUCAUCCCUCAUACGUUAAAGCAAUCCCCCCCCCCCCCCCAAAAUUAAAUAGAAUGGCAUAUGAUAGUUCAUACAGUGCUCCUGAACCACAGCUUAAAACAUGUUUGUAUUGUGAAAUCGAUCUCUUUUGUGCCGGACCGCCAGACAGUAACUACUGAUGAGCUCCACUCAGUCAGCGGCCUGUGGACGAGUGUACAGGGCUACUGAGCCACAGCUAUGAAACUUUUGUAAAACCUCCUGCUGCAUCCUUUUAUUAAAUACUCCUUUACAACUUAUAAGAGGAGCUUCACUUGUUUCUUUUGAAUCGACUCCUGGGCUUCGAAUAAAUGAACAUUUCCUACAGCCCCUUGCAUUGC